CGCCGGACGCCGCCGAGUCGCCAGCACCACCCAGAUCCACCCAGGCGAACCGGGGACCCACCGAACCACUGGGGUGAAUCACCCCUGGCUGCACGCGGGCCGGGGGAGUAGGGCGUCUUCCCGCCCGAACCCGUCAGCUGACCCGGUAGGCGGCCAGACGGAAGAA
rnacentral:sRNA from 2 species